UUCUGGAACUCUCCUAAAUUUGGCUAAAAGUACACUUCGACAAAGCAAACAAGAUAGUUUUGUCUUUCUCCUCUCUCUCUUCCGGGCUCGACUUUCUCUAUCCUCUCUAACCUAGAAGCUAGCAUCGCAGAGUGAGAUCCGUUCGGACCAGGAAACAACCUCAACGGAAACGCUGCCCUGCCACUGCCAGAUCUGAUGAACAAAAGGGGGUGCCCAGCUUCUCAAUUUUCCAAAAGCAAGAAGAAUGAGCACAACUUCGGGACGAGAGGAAAGGCAACAAAAAUAGGAAAAAACUUGGGGACAAAAGAGAAAAAUAAGGGCAAGUGCAACGCGGUGGGCAAAAUCAGUCGUCGUUUGCCAAAUAAUCUUCAAUUCUCACGUUUCAUGCUAACGGGAGCAGCCUCUGCUAGGAACCUUUAUCGGCGGAGUAGAGACAUGCCAAAAAGAAAAAAGAAAAACUUGGGAAUAAAGGAGAAAAAUAAGGGCCAAAACAACAAUUUGGUGGACAGAAUUAGUGAGUUGCGUGAUGAAAUACUUUCUAGUAUUGCCACUUAAGGAAGCAGCAGCUACCAGUAUCCUUUCUAGACGAUGGCAGUAUGUGUGGUCGUCCACUAUGAAUCUCGAUCUGGAUGCUAAAUUUGAACUUGGUGAAUAUUUAUUUCGCUUCAUGGUAAUGGAACCAGAACUAAAAGACCAAGAGCAGCAUAGAUACGUCAGUUGGGUAGAUAAUGUGGUGGAACAGCAUAGAGGUCCAACGAUUGAACACUUCCGGGCUUGCUUUUAUGUAGAUUUCCGUUUUUCAAGUUUGCUCGACCGGCGGGUGGAAAGUCGCGGUGACGUAAAGGCGGCGUUCAAGAUUUUGGCAAAAUUGAACAAGCGGAGGAAAAAGCUUGAGGUGGUGAGGACCUCCAUGAGCGAGUUCGUGCAGUAGCUGGAGGCCGGUGCAUCUGUGCGCAUCGGGACCGAAGAGCAGGCUAUGGCCGUCAGCCGCCUGAGGGAGUUUCUCAGCACAUCGUCUCUGUGCGUUCUGGUUCUGGACGACGCCGACGUCGGAGUGUCCGGUACGGUAGCAGAUGUGGCACGUGAGGCAGACUUCACACGCGUUAAUAUAGGAUUUAUCCCCUGCUCCUCAGUGUCCCCUGCAUAGGUGCUGCGUUAAAAGUUAGAGCUGGUGGCUCAGUGUCGCACAAGCACAACAAACAAAGUAAAUUCUCCCGACUUACGCGUCCUAGUCUUUCUUACUAGUUAUUAUUAAUUGCGUUAUUAGUUGCAAAUGUUCUUGUUGAUACGUAUCCCGGAAAUUACAACCGGAGAUGUUCCUUCUGCUGGCCGAGAUGCGUUUGAGGAUCUCGACCGCACAAGCACAAGCACAACAAAUAAAGUCAUCGUUACAGAUUAGAAACAAAUUUUAAUAUGUUUGGGUGUCACAUUACCCGUGUGAAACUGCUUUUUUGAGUUGUUUAAGUGGUUUUUGCCAAUUGUUACAAUUAGUUAAUGGGUUAGUGCGCAGGGUCAGUGAGGAGAGAGUCAGAGAGGGGUGUAUGGCAGGGUUUGGCUUUUCGGUUUUUCCCUCUGAUUUAAUAGGUUAUGCACUGUUUGACAAUAAUUGUUAGUUGUUUUCCUUUUGCUUGGUUAGAACCAUCAUUCGAUUUUUGGGUUUCAUUGUCCUCAUUUAUGUGCUUCUUCAAAAUUUUCUGGUGUUUGCUUCUCAUUCCUCUGUUGGUUGAUUUUUUUUUAUUUUCUUCCCAUUUCUUGGUUCUGUCUAAUUUUUGGGUUCUGGGAUGAUGCUUGCAGGUGAACUAGGUGCACGGUUUUUUGGGACGAGUUAAGAAGAUCCACAUGAAAACAACAUAGAAGAUAGAGAACUAGUAUGCUGCUUUGUCUUUCUGUUGGAUUUUUAUGUUUAUGUUCUGUUGCUAAGAGGAUUUUAACAUGUUCUUGAAUAUUAGCCAUGUUGUUUGGAUUGAAUAUGUGAUUGAAUAUUGGAGAAGAUACUAUCUUGCUUGAUUUCAAUUAAAGACUACUAAUUUAAUCGGAUUAUAUAAAGUCUGUUUAUGUUUAAGAUGUAUUUUGUUCGAAUCUCUGAACUGAACAGUGCAUCCUUUAUAUAAGGAGUAGUUAGGUAAUUAAGCUUUCACACAGUAAUUAGUGAUGUUAACAAUGAAUAAAAACUGAUCAGUCUCCUUCCUCUCAAAUAAGUUUCUCAGUAGAAACCCUCCUCUCUGACAGACAAAUACAAAUGGAAGCAGCAUCAAUGGGUAGUUGUUGUGUUGCCCUAAGAUAAAAUUAGGUGUGCGUUUUGGAAAUAUAUAUAUAUAUGUAUGUGGACUUAUAUAUAUAUAUAUUAGAGUGAUGUUCACAGGUAACCCACCAGGCAUGAUACGGACCUAGAGGUUAUGAAUGCAUUGUUCAGUUCAGAGAUUCGAACAAAAUACAUCUUAAACAUAAACAAACUAUAUAUAAACCGAUUAAAUUAGUAGUCUUUAAUUGAAAUCAAGCAAGAUGGUAUCUUCUCCAAUAUUCAAUCACAUAUUCAAUCCAAACAACAUGGCUAAUAUUCAAGAACAUGUUAAAAUCCUCUUAGCAACAGAACAUAAACAUAAAAAUCCAACAGAAAGACAAAUCAACAUACUAGUUCUCUAUCUUCUAUGCUGUUUUCAUGUGUAUCUUCUUAACUCGUCCCAAAAAACCGUUCACCUGCAAGCAUCAUCCCACAACCCAAAAAUUAGAUAGAACCAAGAAAUGGGAAGAAAAAAAAUCAACCAACAGAGGAAUGAGAAGCAAACACCAGAAAAUUUUGAAGAAGCACAGAAAUGAGGACAAUGAAACCCAAAAAUUGAAUGAUGGUUCUAACCAAGGAAAACAACUAACAAUUAUUGUCAAACAGUGCGUAACCUAUUGAAUCAGAGGGAAAAGCCAUACACCCCUCACUGACCUGCGCACUAACCCAUUAACUAAUUGUAACAAUUGGCAAAAACCACUUAAACAACUCAAAAAAGCAGUUUCACACAUGUAACGUGACACCCAAACAUAUUAAAAUUUGUUUCUAAUCUGUAACGAUGACUUUAUUUGUUGUGCUUGUGCGGUUGAGAUCCUCAAACGCACCUCGGCCAACAGAAGUAACAUCUCCGGUUGUCAUUUCUGGGAUACGUAUCAACAAGAACAUUUGCAACUAAUAACUAGUAAGAAAGACUAGGACACAUAAGUCGGGAGAAUUUACUUUGUUUGUUGUGCUUGCGCCACACUGAGCCACCAGCUCUAGCUGCUGGGGCAAGGCUAGGAAUUUAGAUAUACAGAUCCAUUGCAGCAAAAGUAACAACAAAAAUUAACAAAAGAAAAACACCAACUGAUUCAUAUCAACCACAAAUUGAAGAACGUAUUAUUUAGAACAAGUACCUUUUAACGCAGCACCUAUGCAGGGGACACUGAGGAGCAGGGGAUAAAUCUGUGUCAAGAAUUAACAAUAAUUAAAAUCAGAAUUAAUUAACUACAAUCAAAAUCAAUUAACUAAAUUAUAUACCCUAUAUUAACGCGUGUGAAGCCUGCCACAUCUGCUACCGUACCGGACACUCCGAUGUUGGCGUCGUCCAGAACGCACAGAGACGAUGUGCUGAGAAACUCCCUCAGGCGGCUGACGGCCAUAGCCUGCUCUUCGGUCCCGAUGCACCGGCCUCCAGCUACCGCACUAACUCGCUCAUGGAGGUCCUCAUCACCUCAAGCUUUUCCCUCCGCUUGUUCAAUUUCGCCAAAAUCUUGAACGCCGCCUUUACGUCACCGCAACUUUCCACCUGCCGGUCGUGUUUCCUCGACGCCUCCCUCAGCUCCAUAAUCUCUGCUCCUAUGAUCCCUUCUUGAGCAGCAAGAUGCUGCAAUUGACCGGCAUCGGAGCUGUCCUUGGGAUAUCUGCUUAUCACAACAGUUGGUUCCCAUUUUCUGUUUCUCUUAUACCACUGAUCCUUCUUCUGCUUCUAUAAAUCCAUCAGAGAUUCCAAAUCGACACGACUUUCCACGACAACCCGAACGAUGCGAUGAACCUUCUUCGCCUUUUCUGCGAAGCAUUCUGUGGACUGCGAAAUCUUCGACGCCAGCUUUUCGCACCAAUCUUCCAUGGCCAGGAAAUCGGCCAUCGAAACCAUCACCGACGACGACAUUUUUGGAUUUGCAGGGAGAGAGAUCAGGGACGUGGAUCUGGAUUUUUGGCGAAAGGCUUCCGAUGAACUGGACCGCAGGGAUUAAACAACUCAAUCGCCUUCUAAUCUUGGCCAUCGCUUUAUGCAACUCAAACGUCUUCUAAUCCUGGCCGUCGUUUUUCGUCUUUUAAUCCCUGCCGUCAUUUUUCGGGAUCAACUGUUUCACGCGGAUGGCCAGCGUGGCGUUCCCGCGCGUUUUCUCUUCUCGUAUUUAUUUUAUUUCCCUCUUUUUUUUCUUCUUCUUAUUUAAUUAUCUAUCUUUUUAUCCAAUCAAAGUCUAUUUUUUUCACUCGUUCUUUUGUGUUUUCAUUAGCUCUUUCUUUUGUGACUUAAUUUUAGUUAUUUAUGUGUAACAAAUUGCAUUUUAUUUUCUUUCUUCCUUUAAUUUUACACAUUGUUCGUAUUUUCCCACCUUAUUUUAAAAUCUACUAUUUAUGUCGUUUAUAACUUAGUUACACGAAAACAAAACAUUUUUGAAAGAGCAAAAAAUAUACAAGUAUUAUCAUGUUGUUGUAAGAUAACGAACGAACACACUAUCCUAAUUAAUUGACUAAACUCAUGAGCUAUAAGCACACCUCAAAGUACACUUUAGAAUUGGCGGUAUUGUGUACAGUCUUUCGUUAGCUUCAAGUACUCCAUAUUUGAAAACUCCGCCUGUAUAAGUUUGUCUUACGUCACUAGCGGAGGACCCGUGGGGGCAAUGCAUGCUUCUGACCCCAACAAGAUGCCUUUGUUACCACCAUAUUUUGGUAUCUACCCCAAGGAAUUCAUACAAAGAUGCUACAACUCGUGAAGAAUAUAUGAUGCGUAACUAAAGCCACUAUAAAUUUGUAUUAAUUAGAGUAUCUGAUAUGUAACUACAAUAAAAUAAGCAUGCAUGUUUGGUUGAUGUUUGGCUUAAAAAGAAAACUAUGGAGCACUAUAAUUUUGUUUUCAAUCAAUGAGGUUGGGAUUCGAAUCUGAAACCUCUUUCAACAUUAAACAUUGGAUGAAGAAGAAUCGGAAGGUCUAAGAUAUAUAGAAAAUUAAAUUUGAGAUAAAAAAAAAAUUAUAUCUAUGUCAGAUGUGCAUAUAGCCUAAAAUAUAUGUGAAGAACCAGUAUUUGAGAACUUCUUUGUCACGCCCCCAUUGCUACAAAAUCAUGACUCCACCGCUGCUUACGUUGCGGGUCCCAAGCCCGGAUAAGGAGGAGUGGGAAUGCGUUAGCUAGUCAACAGUCGGCACUUUGUUCUUCACGUCGAAUGCCUGUGAUAUAAUUAUUUGUCAAUUAAUUCCCAAAAUUGGAAGAAAAAAAAAACUUCAGUUUGUUCACAUUAUUUGGGAGAAAAGAGUACAAAUUCAAAGGCAUAAUCUUGUUCAAAAUAUACCAAUAAAAUGUUGAUAUUUUUUUGUUCCUUGUAAUGAACGGAUUGGGAGCAGCAUAUGUUUAUGACAAAUUUUGUAGUAGCAGCAUUGGAAAGAAAGGCGGCAUCAAGGAAAUAGGUGAAUCCGACGACAUUACUUUAGUCUAAAGAAAGCAUUGCAAUUGGCACCGUCCAAAUGAACAGCGUUUGUACCUGGAUUUUAGUUUAAUUACAGCUAUGCCAUUGCUUUGAUGAGUGGGCUUUGUGGAAGGUAUGGGUUCGGGCUGGGGUUUGUCUUUUGGGUUUGGGCUAAUGGGCUUCGGGUUUGGGCUGUGGCUGGGUUUGUUUUGGUUGGUUUCGGUUGGUAUGGAGUGAGGUGGAUGCGGUGACUCGUCCACAGAGCCUCUGCGGCUUGCAGAAUGGCAGAGAGAAGAGGAGAGAUGGAAGAGUCGUGGGUGAGAGGAGAGGAGAGAGGGAGAGUCCUGCUUUGCAAACGGGAUGGGAGGAAAGACGGAGGGGUAGGGGUGCCCAAAAGUUUGGUUUUGUUUGUUGUCGACAACGGGUGCGCAGAGAGACGGCGAGGCAGGGAGGGAGGGCUAGGGGUAGGGUUCCUUCGCGCACACACACCCAGACACUUCCACAACUGACCACCCCACCUCCAUUUCAGCUCAGCUGAAUUCCGGCCGUUCAAAUCAACCAGUUUUCCGACCCUUGAAUGUCUUCAGCCAAAACGCUACCAUUAGUUAUGGCGCAGUCGCCAAUGGAGGGGACAGGGUCAAGGUUUCUGCCAAAGACGACGACCUUUUUGAUGCGAGCGAGGAGCCGCCCCGCCGAAAAUUCAAAUACAUUCCGGUAAUUUUGCUCCAAUUUUACUUGUUUGAUUGAUUUUGUGAUUGGAAUCUAAUUGAUGUUCUGGGUUGUAUGAUUUUUGUACUUUUUUAAUGAAAGCUUUAUGGGGUUUUUUUGUAUUGAGUUGAUGGUGUGUUUUGGGUUAAUAGUAAUUUAGGGUUUAGUUUUAGAGAUCUUGGAGAAGGAAGUGUUUGACACAUUGGAAAUUAUGGGUUUAUACUUCUUUUUAGUUUCUUUGUGGACUGAGUGGAAUGAGGAUCUCGUGAUUUGCAUAGUCCUCUAGUCGAAAAAUGAAUAUUUGAAAUUGAGUUAUGAGUUAUCUUUGUUUGUCAUGUUGAUGUUUAGAUAGAGUUGAUGUUGAUGUUUAGAUAGAGUUGUUGUUGGAUUUUGGUUUGGUUUUUAUGAUUUGUAAGUAGUCGCGAUCCUGCUGUGAAUCAUACUUCAUGCGGCUCAUGAGAAUCCAUUUAGAAUCGAGAAAAGAUUAGCGAAUUGGAAUGUUUUGUAUUUAGAAGUAAACUGAUUGUUGAUUGCCCAAAGCCAAAACGCUACCAUUAGUUAUGGCGCAGUCGCCAAUGGAGGGGACAGGGUCAAGGUUUUUGCCAAGGACGACGGCCUUUUUGAUGCGAGCGAGGAGCCGCCCCGCCGAAAAUUCAAAUACAUUCCGGUAAUUUUGCUCCAAUUUUACUUGUUUGAUUGAUUUUGUGAUUGGAAUCUAAUUGAUGUUCUGGGUUGUUUGAUUUUUGUACUUUUUUAAUGAAAGCUUUGUGGGGGUUUUUUGUAUUGAGUUAAUGGUGUGUUUUGGGUUAAUAGUAAUUUAGGGUUUAGUUUCAGAGAUCUUGGAGAAUGAGGUGUUUGACACAUUGGAAAUUAUGGGUUUAUGCUUCUUUUUAGUUUCUUUGUGGACUGAGUGGAGUGAGGAUCUCGUGAUUUGCAUAGUCCUUGAGUCGAAAAAUGAAUAUUUGAAAUUGAGUUAUGAGUUAUCUUUGUUUGUCAUGUUGAUGUUUAGAUAGAGUUGAUGUUGAUGUUUAGAUAGAGUUGUUGUUGGAUUUUGGUUUGGUUUUUAUGAUUUGUAAGUAGUCGCGAUCCUGCUGUGAAUCAUACUUCAUGCGGCUCAUGAGAAUCCAUUUAGAAUCAAGAAAAGAUUAGCACAUUGGAAUGUUUUGUAUUUAGAAGUAAACUGAUUGUUGAUUGCCCAAAGCCAAAACGCUACCAUUAGUUAUGGCGCAGUCGCCAAUGGAGGGGACAGGGUCAAGGUUUCUGCCAAGGACGACGGCCUUUUUGAUGCGAGCGAGGAGCUGCCCCACCGAAAAUUCAAAUACAUUCCGGUAAUUUUGCUCCAAUUUUAAUUGUUUGAUUGAUUUUGUGAUUGAAAUCUGAUUGAUGUUCUGGGUUGUUUGAUUUUUGUACUUUUUUAAUGAAAGCUUUGUGGGGUUUUUUGUAUUGAGUUGAUGGUGUGUUUUGGGUUAAUAGUAAUUUAGGGUUUAGUUUCAGAGAUCUUGGAGAAGGAGGUGUUUGACACAUUGGAAAUUAUGGGUUUAUGCUUCUUUUUAGUUUCUUUGUGGACUGAGUGGAGUGAGGAUCUCGUGAUUUGCAUAGUCCUCGAGUCGAAAAAUGAAUAUUUGAAAUUGGGUUAUGAGUUAUCUUUCUUUGUCAUGUUGAUGUUUAGAUAGAGUUGUUGUUGGAUUUUGGUUUGGUUUUAUGAUUUGUAAGUAGUCGCGAUCAUGUUGUGAAUCAUACUUCAUGCGGCUCAUGAGAAUCCAUUUAAAAUCGAGAAAAUAUUAGCACAUUGGAAUGUUUUGUAUUUAGAAGUAAACUGAUUGUUGAUU